rnacentral:miRNA from 1 species
GAUUAGCAUCUGCCUGGGCCGA